rnacentral:sRNA from 1 species
GUAGCUUUAUCGUCUUCGUCCAUGGUGUCCACUUGU